rnacentral:rRNA from 1 species
GCAUAUCAAUAAGCGGAGGAAAAGAAACCAACAGGGAUUGCCCUAGUAACGGCGAGUGAAGCGGCAACAGCUCAAAUUUGAAAGCUGGCCUUCUGGCCCGCAUUGUAAUUUGUAGAGGAUGCUUUUGGUGCGGUACCUUCCGAGUUCCUUGGAACAGGACGCCUUAGAGGGUGAGAGCCCCGUACGGUUGGAUGCCUAGCCUCUGUAAAGCUCCUUCGACGAGUCGAGUAGUUUGGGAAUGCUGCUCUAAAUGGGAGGUAAAUUUCUUCUAAAGCUAAAUAUUGGCCAGAGACCGAUAGCGCACAAGUAGAGUGAUCGAAAGAUGAAAAGCACUUUGAAAAGAGGGUUAAAUAGCACGUGAAAUUGUUGAAAGGGAAGCAUUUGUGACCAGACCUUUGCCUGGCGGAUCAUCCAGUGUUCUCACUGGUGCACUCCGCCUGGCUGAGGCCAGCAUCGGUUUCCGUAGGGGGAUAAAGGCUUCGGGAAUGUGGCUCCCUCGGGAGUGUUAUAGCCCGUUGCGUAAUACCCUUAUGGGGACCGAGGUCCGCGCUCUAGCAAGGAUGCUGGCAUAAUGGUCAUCAAUGACCCSUCUUGAAACACGGACCAAGGAGUCGAACAUUUGUGCGAGUGUUUGGGUGUCAAACCCUCACGCGUAAUGAAAGUGAACGGAGGUGAGAGCCUUAGGGUGCAUCAUCGACCGAUCCUGAUGUCUUCGGAUGGAUUUGAGUAGGAGCAUAACUGUUCGGACCCGAAAGAUGGUGAACUAUGCGUGGAUAGGGUGAAGCCAGAGGAAACUCUGGUGGAGGCUCGCAGCGGUUCUGACGUGCAAAUCGAUCGUCAAAUCUGCGCANGGGGGCGAAAGACUAAUCGA